UGGUGGAGUGAUUUGUCUGGUUAAUUCCGUUAACGAACGAGACCUCGACCUGCUAAAUAGUUCAGCGAAUCCUCGGAUUUGUCUGCAACUUCUUAGAGGGACUUUGCCCGUUAGGGCAAGGAAGUUCGAGGCAAUAACA
rnacentral:rRNA from 1 species